GACGGAGGGGGCAAGCGUUGUUCGGAAUUACUGGGCGUAAAGAGCACGUAGGCGGUCAGGUAAGUCGGUUGUGAAAGCCCUCGGCUUAACCGGGGAACGGCGACCGAAGCUGCCUGACUGGAGUGCGGGAGGGGGGAGUGGAAUUCCCAGUGUAGCGGUGAAAUGCGUAGAUAUUGGGAAGAACACCAAUGGCGAAGGCAGCCCUCUGGACCGUUACUGACGCUGAGGUGCGAAAGCCAGGGGAGCAAACGGG
rnacentral:rRNA from 1 species